rnacentral:rRNA from 1 species
CCUACGGGUGGCAGCAGUGGGGAAUCUUGCACAAUGGGGGAAACCCUGAUGCAGCAACGCCGCGUGAGUGAAGAAGUAUUUCGGUAUGUAAAACUCUAUCAGCAGGGAAGAAAAUGACGGUACCUGAUUAAGAAGCCCCGGCUAACUACGUACCAGCAGCCCAGGUAAUACGUAGGGGGCAAGCGUUCUCCGGAUUUACUGGGUGUAAAGGGAGCGUAGGCGGCAGAACACGUCUGGAGUGAAAUCCCGGGGCUUAACCCCGGAGCUGCUUGGGAGACUGUGCAGCUAGAGUGCAGGAGAGGUGAGUGGAAUUCCUAGUGUAGCGGUGAAAUGCGUAGAUAUGAGGAGGAACACCAGUGGCGAAGGCGGCUUACUGGACUGUAACGGACGUUGAGGCUCGAAAGCGUGGGGAGCAAACAGGAUUAGAUACCCUAGUAGUC